CACCGCUGUAUUCACUCGCCAUGGCGUCCGCAGCGCCAAGGCAACCCGCAGGCGCCAGUGCACAGGAGCAACUGAAAACAGACCUUCUUCACAGACUUCUGAGGAAAAUUUCCCAGGUCACACAGAGACUCCCGAUGGAUGUGGGCUAUUUGCAGUUUGUUUUAGGUCAUUGUCAGGCCAAGUUGAGAUGCCACAAGAUGUUGUAAAUGCAUUGAGAGAGCUGUCAAUACUUGUCAAUGCAGAGGACAGCUCUAAUAUGAGUCUUUGUCAGGUGCCAGUGUUGCAAGCAGAAAUGGGACGGCCAAAAUAUGUUGUGUCACAUCAGCAACUACAAAGCCUGGUAGAAAUGUCCCUACCAGUGUCAUGCAUUGCAAAACUUCUGGGUGUAUCUGAGAGGACAGUGAAACGGCGCAUGCAUGAAUAUGGCCUUUCCAUAAUGCAGUAUUACAGUACCUUAACUGAUGAACAACUUGACAAUUUGGUGAGGUCGGUGAAAGCCAGGACACCACAUGUAGGGUGCAGUUCGAGUACUCUCAAGACUGACAAGGUUGGGGUGUGUUGCAAGAAGGACUUAUUCUGUCCAGGGUCCUCUGCACUUGGUGCAUAUCGACACAAAUCAUAAGCUCAUCAGAUAUGGCCUUGUUAUUUUUGGAGGGGUUGAUGGCUUUUUACGAAAGAUCAUGUACCGAGGUGCUGCGACCAAUAAUAAAGCAUCCACUGCACUUGAUUUCUUCUUUGAGGCAGUGCAGAAGUAUGGCUUUCCAUUAAGGUAAGA